UACAGAGGUGCCAAGCGUUAGGCGGAAUCACUGGGCUUAAAGCGUGUGUAGGUGGAUGUCUAAGUACCUUGUGAAAUCCCAUGGCUCAACCAUGGAACUGCUCGGUAUACUGGACGUCUUGAGCCACUUAGGGGCUACCGGAACAAAUGGUGGAGCGGUGAAAUGCGUAGAGAUGUGGAGGAACACCAGUGGCGAAGGCGACUCUUUGGCCUGUAACUGACGCUGAGGCGCGAAAGCGUGGGGAGCAAACAGG
rnacentral:rRNA from 1 species